GAUGAAGAACGUAGCGAAAUGCGAUAAGUAGUGUGAAUUGCAGAAUUCAGUGAAUCAUCGAAUCUUUGAACGCACAUUGCGCCCCAUGGUAUUCCGUGGGGCAUGCCUGUUCGAGCGUCAUUUACCCCCUCAAGCUCCGCUUGGUGUUGGGCGUCUGUCCCGCUUCGCGCGCGGACUCGCCCCAAAGGUAUUGGCAGCGGUCGUGCCAGCUUCUCGCGCAGCACAUUGCGCUUCUCGAGGCACCGGUGGGCCCGCGUCCAUCAAGCUCACCCCCCCAGUUUGACCUCGGAUCAGGUAGGGAUACCCGCUGAACUUAAGCAUAUCAAAUAAGCGGAGGA
rnacentral:misc_RNA from 1 species